rnacentral:rRNA from 1 species
GGUUAAGCGACUAAGCGUACACGGUGGAUGCCCUGGCAGUCAGAGGCGAUGAAGGACGUGCUAAUCUGCGAAAAGCGUCGGUAAGGUGAUAUGAACCGUUAUAACCGGCGAUGUCCGAAUGGGGAAACCCAGUGCAAUUCGUUGCACUAUCGUUAACUGAAUACAUAGGUUAACGAGGCGAACCGGGGGAACUGAAACAUCUAAGUACCCCGAGGAAAAGAAAUCAACCGAGAUUCCCCCAGUAGCGGCGAGCGAACGGGGAGCAGCCCAGAGUCUGAAUCAGCUUGUGUGUUAGUGGAACGGUCUGGAAAGUCCGACGGUACAGGGUGAUAGUCCCGUACACCAAAAUGCACAGGUUGUGAACUCGAAGAGUAGGGCGGGACACGUGGUAUCCUGUCUGAAUAUGGGGGGACCAUCCUCCAAGGCUAAAUACUCCUGACUGACCGAUAGUGAACCAGUACCGUGAGGGAAAGGCGAAAAGAACCCCGGCGAGGGGAGUGAAAAAGAACCUGAAACCGUGUACGUACAAGCAGUGGGAGCACCUUCGGGUGUGACUGCGUACCUUUUGUAUAAUGGGUCAGCGACUUAUAUUCUGUAGCAAGGUUAACCGUAUAGGGGAGCCGCAGGGAAACCGAGUCUUAACUGGGCGUUAAGUUGCAGGGUAUAGACCCGAAACCCGGUGAUCUAGCCAUGGGCAGGUUGAAGGUUGGGUAACACUAACUGGAGGACCGAACCGACUAAUGUUGAAAAAUUAGCGGAUGACUUGUGGCUGGGGGUGAAAGGCCAAUCAAACCGGGAGAUAGCUGGUUCUCCCCGAAAGCUAUUUAGGUAGCGCCUCGUGAACUCAUCUUCGGGGGUAGAGCACUGUUUCGGCUAGGGGGUCAUCCCGACUUACCAACCCGAUGCAAACUACGAAUACCGAAGAAUGUUAUCACGGGAGACACACGGCGGGUGCUAACGUCCGUCGUGAAGAGGGAAACAACCCAGACCGCCAGCUAAGGUCCCAAAGUCAUGGUUAAGUGGGAAACGAUGUGGGAAGGCACAGACAGCCAGGAUGUUGGCUUAGAAGCAGCCAUCAUUUAAAGAAAGCGUAAUAGCUCACUGGUCGAGUCGGCCUGCGCGGAAGAUGUAACGGGGCUAAACCAUGCACCGAAGCUGCGGCAGCGACACUAUGUGUUGUUGGGUAGGGGAGCGUUCUGUAAGCCUGCGAAGGUGACCUGUGAGGGUUGCUGGAGGUAUCAGAAGUGCGAAUGCUGACAUAAGUAACGAUAAAGCGGGUGAAAAGCCCGCUCGCCGGAAGACCAAGGGUUCCUGUCCAACGUUAAUCGGGGCAGGGUGAGUCGACCCCUAAGGCGAGGCCGAAAGGCGUAGUCGAUGGGAAACAGGUUAAUAUUCCUGUACUUGGUGUUACUGCGAAGGGGGGACGGAGAAGGCUAUGUUAGCCGGGCGACGGUUGUCCCGGUUUAAGCAUGUAGGCUGAUUAUCCAGGCAAAUCCGGAUAAUCAAGGCUGAGGUGUGAUGACGAGGCACUACGGUGCUGAAGUAACAAAUGCCCUGCUUCCAGGAAAAGCCUCUAAGCAUCAGGUAACAUCAAAUCGUACCCCAAACCGACACAGGUGGUCAGGUAGAGAAUACCAAGGCGCUUGAGAGAACUCGGGUGAAGGAACUAGGCAAAAUGGUGCCGUAACUUCGGGAGAAGGCACGCUGGUGUGUAGGUGAAGUCCCUGCGGAUGGAGCUGAGACCAGUCGAAGAUACCAGCUGGCUGCAACUGUUUAUUAAAAACACAGCACUGUGCAAACACGAAAGUGGACGUAUACGGUGUGACGCCUGCCCGGUGCCGGAAGGUUAAUUGAUGGGGUUAUCCGUAAGGAGAAGCUCUUGAUCGAAGCCCCGGUAAACGGCGGCCGUAACUAUAACGGUCCUAAGGUAGCGAAAUUCCUUGUCGGGUAAGUUCCGACCUGCACGAAUGGCGUAAUGAUGGCCAGGCUGUCUCCACCCGAGACUCAGUGAAAUUGAACUCGCUGUGAAGAUGCAGUGUACCCGCGGCAAGACGGAAAGACCCCGUGAACCUUUACUAUAGCUUGACACUGAACAUUGAGCCUUGAUGUGUAGGAUAGGUGGGAGGCUUUGAAGCGUGGACGCCAGUCUGCGUGGAGCCAACCUUGAAAUACCACCCUUUAAUGUUUGAUGUUCUAACGUUGGCCCCUGACCGGGGUUGCGGACAGUGUCUGGUGGGUAGUUUGACUGGGGCGGUCUCCUCCCAAAGCGUAACGGAGGAGCACGAAGGUUAGCUAAUCCUGGUCGGACAUCAGGAGGUUAGUGCAAUGGCAUAAGCUAGCUUGACUGCGAGCGUGACGGCGCGAGCAGGUGCGAAAGCAGGUCAUAGUGAUCCGGUGGUUCUGAAUGGAAGGGCCAUCGCUCAACGGAUAAAAGGUACUCCGGGGAUAACAGGCUGAUACCGCCCAAGAGUUCAUAUCGACGGCGGUGUUUGGCACCUCGAUGUCGGCUCAUCACAUCCUGGGGCUGAAGUAGGUCCCAAGGGUAUGGCUGUUCGCCAUUUAAAGUGGUACGCGAGCUGGGUUUAGAACGUCGUGAGACAGUUCGGUCCCUAUCUGCCGUGGGCGCUGGAGAAUUGAGGGGGGCUGCUCCUAGUACGAGAGGACCGGAGUGGACGCAUCACUGGUGUUCGGGUUGUCAUGCCAAUGGCACUGCCCGGUAGCUAAAUGCGGAAGAGAUAAGUGCUGAAAGCAUCUAAGCACGAAACUUGCCCCGAGAUGAGUUCUCCCUGAGACUUUAAGUCUCCUGAAGGAACGUUAAAGACGAUGACGUUGAUAGGCCGGGUGUGUAAGCGCAGCGAUGCGUUGAGCUAACCGGUACUAAUGAACCGUGAGGCUUAACCUU